rnacentral:rRNA from 1 species
GACGAACGCUGGCGGCGUGCUUAACACAUGCAAGUCGAACGGAAAGGCCCUGCUUUUGUGGGGUGCUCGAGUGGCGAACGGGUGAGUAACACGUGAGUAACCUGCCCUUGACUUUGGGAUAACUUCAGGAAACUGGGGCUAAUACCGGAUAGGAGCUCCUGCUGCAUGGUGGGGGUUGGAAAGUUUCGGCGGUUGGGGAUGGACUCGCGGCUUAUCAGCUUGUUGGUGGGGUAGUUGCUUACCAAGGGUUUGACGGGUAGCCGGCCUGAGAGGGUUACCGGCGACAAUGGGACUGAGAGACGGCCCAGACGCCUACGGGAGGCAGCAGUGGGGAAUAUUGCACAAUGGGCGGAAGCCUGAUGCAGAAACGCAGCGUGCGGGAUGACGGCCUUCGGGUUGUAAACCGCUUUCGCAUGUGACGAAGCGUGAGUGACGGUAAUGGGUAAAGAAGCACCGGCUAACUACGUG